UGGAAACGCUGUAUCUGCGGGUGAUGCUCCUCAUGUUUUUGGUCAUGAAAGCUGACAUCUGAAAAAAACGAAAUCAUAAAGGUGUGAAAGACGUGAUGGUGAAGCUCUACAGGUUCCCGAUCAAUCAUGACUGAUCCGCCCAUCCGUCCGUCCUCCCAUCCUCCUGCUGCAUCUUAAUCAUUUCACAAAUACGAAGAUCAACUCCUCAAUGCGGUCUAAUGAAGGACACGUCCACCUUCAGUCCCUCCUUCAAGGAUUCGUUUGAUCGCUGAAACUUCAGAGGAGAUCUCCUUCAGGAGCCCAAAAACAGGCCGUCUGAGAGCAAGAACGACAGCGAGGGAUCAAAACACGACCUGCGUCACGCUAACCUUCCUCUCCUGUGUGGAGUUUUUCAAAGUUUACUUCAGCACGCAGAGGAGACGCUCUCUUUUAAUUGUCAAGAAGACUCAUUCCCUUCAGCUCAAACUCUCUGGAGCCUCCGCAGGAAAUAUUAAAGCAGAUGUGAGUUGCAUGCAAUGCAUUAACAAAGGACAAAAUGAGCAGCAAAAAGCGCAAUCAGGAGCUGUCAGAAUCACUGCUCUUCUGUCUGUCUCUCGGAGGAGCAUCUGCUGAUGUACUCCUCAAACACCAGACGUGAUGCACUGCAGAAGAAAAGCCCUGGGGAACCUCCAUUUCAGAGCUUAAAGGAAGAGCUUAGAUGAAGAUGUGUUUUUAUUCAGAUGUUUUUGUUUGCUUUUCAUUUACUUUGUUAAUUUGUAUGCCACUUGUAUAAAUACGGUCAUAGUGACAAUGCGGUUAAUUAAUUGAUAAAUGAAUCAAUUAACAAGCAAACAUCAUUUAUUCAUCCCUUUAUUAAUCUGGGGUCACCACAGCAGAAUGAACCGCCAACUUCAUUCAUUC
rnacentral:lncRNA from 1 species